rnacentral:rRNA from 1 species
AAAUUGAAGAGUUUGAUCAUGGCUCAGAUUGAACGCUGGCGGCAGGCCUAACACAUGCAAGUCGAGCGGAAACGAGUUAUCUGAACCUUCGGGGAACGAUAACGGCGUCGAGCGGCGGACGGGUGAGUAAUGCCUAGGAAAUUGCCCUGAUGUGGGGGAUAACCAUUGGAAACGAUGGCUAAUACCGCAUGAUGCCUACGAGCCAAAGAGGGGGACCUUCGGGCCUCUCGCGUCAGGAUAUGCCUAGGUGGGAUUAGCUAGUUGGUGAGGUAAAGGCUCACCAAGGCGACGAUCCCUAGCUGGUCUGAGAGGAUGAUCAGCCACACUGGAACUGAGACACGGUCCAGACUCCUACGGGAGGCAGCAGUGGGGAAUAUUGCACAAUGGGCGCAAGCCUGAUGCAGCCAUGCCGCGUGUGUGAAGAAGGCCUUCGGGUUGUAAAGCACUUUCAGUCGUGAGGAAGGUGGUAGUGUUAAUAGCACUAU